CAACGGAAUCCGUUCUAAAUCAACGGAUAAACGGACCGUUGAAAAUCAACGGAAAAUAGUUCUGAUAACUAUUAACAAGAAAACAUUACGUUAUUUUCAUAAAACAUAUUAAAAUAAUACAAGUUUAAUUCAUUUGUAAAUGUAAAAUAAAUUAAUUACCUUAAAACUCAUUAUUCUUUCUAUCCGUGAAUGCAAGAAUAUCUCUUGGCGGAUCAAAGAAGUAAAGCGGAAAUAGACCAUAAUGCAAUGCGCCGACAUUAAAAAUAGAACGAAACCUGUCUGCAGCCUAACAACAUGUGUUUACAAGAAACAGCUGUGAUGCGCUUUCACUUUUGAAAGUUGAAGACGCAGUUGUUGAAGACCGGCUUUGAAAGAUAUACUGUGGACAUUACGGAGUUAACAGAAGGAACAUGAAGAACAGGGCGGCAGUCGUCAGAUGUAGGCAAAUCAUUUAUAGACAGGACAGAGGACGCAGCUCAUAUGACUAUCCUGAAAGAACUGACAUCGCAGAGAAUGUGGAAGUGCACGAGUGUUUUCAACGACGUCUCGACGCCCCGACAUAAACUUGGAAACUGACAUCAACUCAUGGCUGCUGUGGCACGGAGGCAGUAUGGUGUGUAGGUCUUAAUGCACUUUGACGACUUAUCGGCCAUUAAUCCUGUGAAUGACCUUUUUGCUAAAGCCCAAUGUCAUCGUCUAGUAGUACGUACAAUUCCGCAUCACCGAUGACCAGGGUGAAAUUGUAGCAGACGAAAUUUUAGACAUAUAUUGAUAAGACAUUGUUUUAUCAAUUAUUGAUGCAACUCCACUGCCUGGAAUACAAAUAAAAUCAUAAAUACAUUU